UUCUUCUCAGCUUUGGAUCUGUCCCUCAUCAGCUUAUUUGCUAUCUCCUUUAAAUUGAUUUCGCCAUCUCCAUGUUUAACCAGCUUUUCUUUGAAACCCUGACGCAGCUUCUGCUCCUGCAAAUUACAUGACUCAAUCGAAAUCUUUGAAUGGAAACUGAAAACCCACACGGUAAAAGAAUGUGUAAAAACCUUGGGCCAAGGAGAGUCGAGGUGUGCAUUGGAAAGAACAUGGAUGCCAGGCGAAACAUCCUGGACGAUGAAGGCUUCUUUGCAUUUAUCCCGGUUGGAGACAUACACCAUGGUGUUUGACAAGAUGUCAGCAACAAUCAGGUUAAAGCCGUUGUAUUGAUCGGCCUCCUUUGCCAUUCCCUCUGCAAAUUCCCUUGGAGCCUUGGAGCUCUGCACGGCAAGCAUAAGGUAAUCACAUAUAGAUUUGUCUAACUGUUCUAUCCUGAUGAACCCAUUUUGAACAAGGUAUAAAACUUUUUUGUUUGACUUAAUUGUGUUAUGGUGUUGACUGUCUCAACAGAAACAUACAUGAUCUCUCUUUGUAGAGAAACUCUCACAGCCUAACGAGUAAAGAUGAUGUAUUCACCUGGAGGAAAAGAAGAGGGAGCUCCC
rnacentral:lncRNA from 1 species